AACAUUAAAAUAAUGAAUGAAUGAAUGAAUGAACCCAGAACCACUCAAGAGUAGUUAACAUUGUGAAAAAUGAGCAGGCAUUAGUAGGGUGGAUGGGAGAAGUUUCCUUUUUUUCUUAAGGCCUUCCUAUACAGCUUGAUUCCUUGUGAACAGGUAUUACUUUAAUUUAAAUUAAAACACACACACACACACACACACACACACACACACACACACACACAGUCAAUGAGCAGUCCUGCAAACAGCAGGAUACCUAAUUAAUCUUUCCCUUAUUCUCUCCUUUCAGAACCCCGUCCUUAAAAUGGGCAAUUCUGAACAUCUGCUCAAACAUUUAAAAAAGCGCUAUUAACCUUCCUGUUAAAAAUUCAACGACUUCAAGUUUACUUAAGUAUUCUCUUGAAUACUUAAGCUAAAGUUCCUUGCCAACUACCACUUCUGAUUCCAUCAUGUUAUCAGAAAACAGAGUCCUAUGGAGAUGACAUAAGGGCAGAGCCUGAGGAGUCCAGGAACAUCUCUGUGCUGAGCGAGAACGUAUCCACCCCCAUACAACUGCAGAAUCUCCGAAGGGCGCAGAAGUCACAUAAAGCUUUUAUGAAGGCAAUGUUGCCAACCUUGGAGUUUGGACGCCAAUUAAAAAAAAAAAAAAAAAAAAAAAAGGCACACUGGCGACUUUCAGACACUUAGUUGUUUCCCUCUGAUGAUGUUCCAGAAAGCUCAAUAACUGGGGAAGAAGAGCAUCAAGGAGGCAGACAAGCUGUCUAGGCUUGGAAAGGAUACUUUGACCAAAUUAUAAAGUAAGCACUAAGAAACGUGUAACGUCUACAGAAGCAAUUCAGAGUCAUCUGUGGAUGUGUUGGGGGGGUGGUGCACCACCAUACAUCCUGUUAGCCAGCUUGCUUACCCUCUACUGGAAAGUGUUUUCCCUUGUAGGCUAUAAAUAUCUGACAGCAGG